UACGUAGGUGGCAAGCGUUACUCGGAAUCACUAGGCGUAAAGCGCAGGUAGGCGGUUUGGUAAGUCUGUUGUGAAAGCUCCCGGCUCAACUGGGAGAGGCCAACGGAAACUACCAGGCUAGAGUGUGGUAGAGGAAACUGGAAUUCCUGGUGUAGCGGUGAAAUGCGUAGAUAUCAGGAGGAACACCUAUGGCGAAAGCAGGUUUCUGGGCCAUCACUGACGCUGAGCUGCGAAAGCUAGGGGAGCAAACAGG
rnacentral:rRNA from 1 species